CUGGGGCACUCUGUUGCACUGGCGGGCGCAGGUUGCCUAGGGGCUGGGCUGGGCCGGGCCAGGCGCGAUGGCAGGGUUCUCUCCUUGGCGGCGGCGGCAGCGGCGGAGGCGGCGGCGGCGGCGGGCGAGGCAGCCCUUCGCGGGCAGCACCAGAACUGGUCGGUGAUUUAGGUAGUUUCCUGUUGUUGGGAUCCACCUUUCUCUCGACAGCACGACACUGCCUUCAUUACUUCAGUUGAAAUCGUCUCCAGUUGAUAGAGAAAAACAACCCAGCGAAGGCGCCUUCUCUGAAAACAAUGCUGAGAAUGAGAGCGGCGGAGACAAGCCCCCCAUCGAUCCCAAUAACCCAGCAGCCAACUGGCUUCAUGCGCGCUCCACUCGGAAAAAGCGGUGCCCCUAUACAAAACACCAGACCCUGGAACUGGAGAAAGAGUUUCUGUUCAACAUGUACCUCACCAGGGACCGCAGGUACGAGGUGGCUCGACU
rnacentral:miRNA from 1 species